CCUACGGGUGGCAGCAGUGGGGAAUAUUGGACAAUGGGCGAAAGCCUGAUCCAGCCAUGCCGCGUGUGUGAAGAAGGCCUUCGGGUUGUAAAGCACUUUCAGUGGGGAAGAAAGCCUUGGGGCUAAUACCCUCGAGGAAGGACAUCACCCACAGAAGAAGCACCGGCUAACUCCGUGCCAGCAGCCGCGGUAAUACGGAGGGUGCGAGCGUUAAUCGGAAUUACUGGGCGUAAAGCGCGCGUAGGCGGUCUGAUAAGCCGGUUGUGAAAGCCCCGGGCUCAACCUGGGAACGGCAUCCGGAACUGGCAGGCUAGAGUGCAGGAGAGGAAGGUAGAAUUCCCGGUGUAGCGGUGAAAUGCGUAGAGAUCGGGAGGAAUACCAGUGGCGAAGGCGGCCUUCUGGACUGACACUGACGCUGAGGUGCGAAAGCGUGGGUAGCAAACAGGAUUAGAUACCCCUGUAGU
rnacentral:rRNA from 1 species